UACCGCAAUGGUGACACUGAGACUGAGCGAGCCUCCAGAAUCCUGCUUGGGAACUCGAGCUGCAUGUAACUCCAUUUGACUCAGUCUGUGCAUCUCGCAAGGUGUUCAUGUAUAUACACGAAUGAGAUGCAUCUGGGGGUGUU